ensembl:lncRNA
GGGAUUGCCAGGCAGCUCCUUCCAGUGCCGUCGGGCCAGGGGAGACCUACGGCCUCUGCUGCAGAUGUCUGCACAUCUGCUGUACCAGAGCAGUAGAAAAAGGGCUGGGUGAAUCAGCCAUAAGUGCUUUGUUUGGUAUUGGGCUUUCCUUCUCCUCUCUGAGCACCGUUUCUAGGAAAGAAGUAAUCAUCUCCGGAUGAUACCCAGAAAAUCUCUCCCGUGGGCCUCUGGGAAAGACCCAAGUGCUAGGACCGGAGCAGCACCACCAGCCCUACUUUCAGCACUUCAUUCAGAACUCCAUCUCAGCAUCAGCCCAUCUCCUCUUCUGCAGUAAUGCCUCCUCCCACCACAGCUCAGCCUGGCUUCACCCUAUCCCGAGGGGCUGAUCUGACAAAGGAGCAGAAGAGCCCAGCAGCUCCAGUGUAUCUAUCUAUUUUCUUUUCUCUUUAUUAGGCGAGCUACUGCCCAUCUCCUCCUUCUCCAUAGGCAUCUGGGCACAAAGCUGCUGAAAGAAACCAGCCUAUUCCUCUCUGUGCACAUGGAGAGCCCUUGGGGGACUGGUGGGUGUCUGUUUGGAGGUAGGGGAUCGGGUGAGCCCAUUCUGCCAGUAGAUGCCCGGUGUGGUCCUUCCCCA